UACGAAGGUCCCAAGCGUUAUCCGGAUUUAUUGGGUUUAAAGGGUGCGUAGGCGGGUUAUUAAGUCAGUGGUGAAAGCUCCAUGCCUAACAUGGAAAUUGCCAUUGAUACUGAUGAUCUUGAGUACAUUUGAAGUGGGCGGAAUGUGUCAUGUAGUGGUGAAAUACUUAGAUAUGACACAGAACACCGAUUGCGAAGGCAGCUUACUACGGAUCGAUUGACACUGAGGCACGAAAGCGUGGGGAUCAAACAGG
rnacentral:rRNA from 1 species